CAGAAAGUAGUUUAAUUAAAAUGCCAGCUUUGGGAGUUGGUGAUAGGGGUUUAAUUCCCUUUUUUCUGA
rnacentral:tRNA from 1 species